AAGGCGAAUUAAAUGAUUUCAUACUUCCAAGAAAAGUUUCUAAACUUAAAUUUAUGGAAACCUGUACCGAGAACGGACACACGUCCCCAAGAUGAGUAUUCUAAGGCGAGCGAGAAAACUAGUGUUAAGGAACUCUGCAAAAUGACCCCGUAAGUUCGCAAGAAGGGGCACCCAUGGUAAUACAUGGGUCACAGUAAAUUAUGAGGGGCAACUGUUUAUCAAAAACACAGCUCUCUGCUAAACCGCAAGGUGAUGUAUAGGGGGUGAAGCCUGCCCAGUGCCCGAAGGUUAAGUGGAUGCGUUAGCUUAUGCGAAGCGUUGAAAUGAAGCCCGGGUGAACGGCGGCCGUAACUAUAACGGUCCUAAGGUAGCGAAAUUCCUUGUCGGCUAAAUACUGACCUGCACGAAAGGCGCAAUGAUCUCUCAACUGUCUCAACACUAGACUCGGUGAAAUUAUGGUCCCAGUGAAAACGCUGGGUACCCGCAUCAAGACGAAAAGACCCCAUGGAGCUUUACUAUAACUUCGUAUUGAAAUUUGGUCUAACAUGUGUAGGAUAGGUGGGAGACAGUGAAGACAGGACGCCAGUUCUGUUGGAGUCAUCCUUGAAAUACCACCCUUGUUAUAUUGAGUUUCUAACUUGCCAUCAUAAUCGGGUGGGAGGACAGUGCGUGGUGGGUAGUUUGACUGGGGCGGUCGCCUCCUAAAGAGUAACGGAGGCGUUCAAAGGUACACUCAAUACGGUCAGAAACCGUAUGUAGAGCGCAAAGGUAGAAGUGUGCUUGACUGUGAGACUUACAAGUCGAGCAGGUGCGAAAGCAGGACUUAGUGAUCCGGCUGUACAUUGUGGAAUGGCAGUCGCUCAACGGAUAAAAGUUACCCUGGGGAUAACAGGCUUAUCUUGCCCAAGAGAUCACAUCGACGGCAAGGUUUGGCACCUCGAUGUCGGCUCAUCGCAUCCUGGAGCUGGAGUCGGUUCCAAGGGUUGGGCUGUUCGCCCAUUAAAGCGGUACGCGAGCUGGGUUCAAAACGUCGUGAGACAGUUUGGUCCCUAUCUGAUGUGGGCGUUGGAAUAUUGAUGAGAGCCGCUCUUAGUACGAGAGGACCGGAGUGGACGUACCACUGGUGUUCCUGUUGUUGCGCCAGCAGCAUAGCAGGGUAGCUAAGUACGGAAAGGAUAACCGCUGAAAGCAUCUAAGUGGGAAGCCUCCUCAGAGAUAAGUAUUCCCUUGAGAUUCCUUAUAGACUAUGAGGUUGAUAGGAUGGGGGUGUAAGCGUAGUAAUACGUUCAGCUGACCAUUACUAAUAAAUCGAUCGGUUUAAAU
rnacentral:rRNA from 1 species